rnacentral:rRNA from 1 species
AUCAACUUUCGAUGGUAGGAUAGAGGCCUACCAUGGUGGUAACGGGUAACGGGGUGUUAGGGCACGACACCGGAGAGGGAGCCUGAGAAACGGCUACCACAUCCAAGGAUGGCAGCAGGCGCGCAAAUUACCCAAUCCCGACACGGGGAGGUAGUGACAAUAAAUAACAAUACGGGUCCUUUCGGGUUUCGUAAUUGGAAUGAGUACAAUUUAAAUCUCUUAACGAGGAACAAUUGGAGGGCAAGUCUGGUGCCAGCAGCCGCGGUAAUUCCAGCUCCAAUAGCGUAUAUUAAAGUUGUUGCAGUUAAAAAGCUCGUAGUUGAAUUUCGGGAUUAGUACGUUGGUCGUGCCUUCGGUACGUACUGGUGUUACUGAUUCCUACCUUCUGACGAACCAUCAUGUCAUUAAUUUGGUGUGGUGGGAAAUCAGGACUGUUACUUUGAAAAAAUUAGAGUGUUUAAAGCAGGCUCGCGCUUGAAUACAUUAGCAUGGAAUAAUGAAAUAGGACGUUGACCCUAUUUUGUUGGUUUCUAGGAUUGACGUAAUGAUUAAUAGGGAUAGUUGGGGGCAUUAGUAUUCAAUUGUCAGAGGUGAAAUUCUUGGAUUUAUUGAAGACUAACUACUGCGAAAGCAUUUGCCAAGGAUGUUUUUAUUAAUCAAGAACGAAAGUUAGGGGAUCGAAGACGAUCAGAUACCGUCGUAGUCUUAACCAUAAACUAUGCCGACUAGGGAUCGGAUGAUGUUAUUUUUAAUGACUCAUUCGGCGCCUUACGGGAAACCAAAGUGUUUGGGUUC